rnacentral:lncRNA from 1 species
GUAGUUGCUGUGGAACAUUGGUACAUAUGUGUGCGUAUGUGUGUUCUUGAGCAAAUGUUGGUUUGAGCGUGAACUGUGGUUGAAAUGCCUAACAGACCUGUAAACGGUACCGAGAUAACUGCACAGACUGAAACCUCCGAACACUGACGGAACAGAAGAAAGAAUUGUAGUAAAACAAUACAAUUUAGUUCAUUCUGUAAAAGACUUGUGUUUUUCUUCGAAGCGACAGGCUGUGGCGCACACACAGACACAUAGUCUCGUUGCAGUCUAGUCAUUGGAUGUUUAACGCCAAAGAGGAUAUAUAGUGAAGACACUUCCGGAUUCGUAACUCUAUUAAGAGAGCUAUUGUGCCUAACGUGGGAGAUACAAGAGAUCACAACGAAGAAAAGAAAAAAAGAACACAAUAAGAAAAAAGUAAAAAAAAAAAAAACAAAAAAAACAAAGUCACCUCCGUUGCUAGACAAACAAUCAAACAAUUAAAAUAGUGACCGUAACAAAAGUACCACACUAUACAUACAUACAUACAUGCAUACAUACAUGCAUACAUACAUACAUACAUACAUACAUACAUGUAAGUAUGUAUGUAUAUAUAAAUAUAUAUAUGUAUAUGAGACAAUGCACAAGUGAAACUGAAAGUCGACGAAGAAUCAAAACAGCGCGAUAAAUUAAUAUGAACACUUACGGGAGGAUAAAAGCCAGCGUCUGAGACAAUGUUAUAAUAGGAAAUUGUAAUAAUAAUAAUAAUAAUAAUAAUAAUAAUAAUAAUCAUAGUAAUAGUAAUAAUAAUAAUCGUAUCAAUAAUAACGAUUUAAAUAAUCUACCCCCUCCUACUACAACUACUAUUGCUACUACAAGAACAGUAGUAAUAAUAAAUUCAAUAUGAACAAAUACAAGGAUAAACACAAAAAUGAAAGCGACAAUAAAAAGAACAGUUAUAUAUGACAAUGCCGUUAAGAGGGCGAGAGUAUAGGAAAUAUGCAUGAAACAAGUGAAUUUAAAAAAAAAGAAAAAAUAAAUUAGAACUCGAAGGAAUUACGCGAAAAAGUUAUUCUUACCGUUGCUGUAGAUGUUACAACUGCUGGUGUGUUGUUGUAUGCAGGUAUUCAACAUUUAAGAUAAUAAUAUAAUACGCUUUUGGAAAUUGUCUUUCGAAGCACAUAAAUAUUGAGUUGGAAAACUCUUUUGAAUGCUAAUAGUCGAAGGCUGCACGCAGG